rnacentral:rRNA from 1 species
GACGAACGCUGGCGGCGUGCCUAAUACAUGCAAGUCGAGCGAAGUUUUUCUGGUGCUUGCCCUAGAAAAACUUAGCGGCGCACGGGUGCGUAACACGUAAAGAACCUGCCUCAUAGACUGGGACAACUAUUGGAAACGAUAGCUAAUACCGGAUAACAGUAUUUCUCGCAUGAGAGAUAUUUAAAAGUUGGUUAUGCUAACACUAUGAGAUGGCUUUGCGGUGCAUUAGCUAGUUGGUGGGGUAAAGGCCCACCAAGGCGACGAUGCAUAGCCGACCUGAGAGGGUGAACGGCCACACUGGGACUGAGACACGGCCCAGACUCCUACGGGAGGCAGCAGUAGGGAAUCUUCCGCAAUGGGCGAAAGCCUGACGGAGCAACGCCGCGUGAGUGAAGAAGGAUUUCGGUUCGUAAAGCUCUGUUGUUAGGGAAGAAUGGAUAUGUAGUAACUAUACAUGUAAGAGACGGUACCUAACCAGAAAGCCACGGCUAACUACGUG